rnacentral:rRNA from 1 species
CGGCGGGGGAUGGGCAUGCGGCGCAUUAGCUAGUCGGCGGGGUAACGGCCCACCGAGGCGACGAUGCGUAGGGGUUCUGAGAGGAAGGUCCCCCACACUGGUACUGAGACACGGACCAGACUCCUACGGGAGGCAGCAGUGAGGAAUAUUGGUCAAUGGGCGGGAGCCUGAACCAGCCAAGUCGCGUGAGGGAAGACGGUCCUACGGAUUGUAAACCUCUUUUGCCGGGGAGCAACGGGGUCCUUGCGAGGGCCCGAUGAGAGUACCCGGAGAAAAAGCAUCGGCUAACUCCGUGCCAGCAGCCGCGGUAAUACGGAGGAUGCGAGCGUUAUCCGGAUUUAUUGGGUUUAAAGGGUGCGUAGGCGGGCUGUUAAGUCAGCGGUCAAAUGUCGGGGCUCAACCCCGGCCUGCCGUUGAAACUGGCGGCCUCGAGUGGGCGAGAAGUAUGCGGAAUGCGUGGUGUAGCGGUGAAAUGCAUAGAUAUCACGCAGAACUCCGAUUGCGAAGGCAGCAUACCGGCGCCCUACUGACGCUGAGGCACGAAAGCGUGGGUAUCGAACAGGAUUAGAUACCCUGGUAGUCCACGCAGUAAACGAUGAAUGCUAGCUGUCCGGUUCUACG